UCCAGAAAAGGACACCUUACUACUGUGGCUCACCCACCCAUUCUUAUAAAAUUAUUUUGGGAAGUUCUUAAAGCCCACCCUCAAGGCCUCAAGCUGCAGUGCCACCCUCUCUCCUCUUGGGAAAGGCCCAGAGAUAAAAAGGGUGACAAAAGAAAUGCUGGAGAUACGGGAGUCCAAAGGAGCUGAAUUAACGGGCUUUGCGGGGAGAGGCGGGUGAAGCCAAGUGCAAUGAUGGUGAAGGCCAGAGAACAAAUUACCCCCAAGGCGUGUGUGGACGGCCAGGGCCUGAAGGAAGUUUGGUCCCCAGUCGACCCGGGCCCUCCUCCCUCCUCCUGUCGCUCCCCGAGAUCUGGGCUCUCCCCCGAAACUGUGAAGUCACAUCUUGC